rnacentral:rRNA from 1 species
GCUUUGCCUACCAUCUCUUACCCAUGUCUUUUGAGUACCUUCGUUUCCUCGGCGGGUCCGCCCGCCGAUUGGACAAACUUAAACCCUUUGUAAUUGAAAUCAGCGUCUGAAAAAACAUAAUAGUUACAACUUUCAACAACGGAUCUCUUGGUUCUGGCAUCGAUGAAGAACGCAGCGAAAUGCGAUAAGUAGUGUGAAUUGCAGAAUUCAGUGAAUCAUCGAAUCUUUGAACGCACAUUGCGCCCCUUGGUAUUCCAUGGGGCAUGCCUGUUCGAGCGUCAUUUGUACCUUCAAGCUCUGCUUGGUGUUGGGUGUUUGUCUCGCCUCUGCGUGUAGACUCGCCUUAAAACAAUUGGCAGCCGGCGUAUUGAUUUCGGAGCGCAGUACAUCUCGCGCUUUGCACUCAUAACGACGACGUCCAAAAAGUACUUUUUACACUCUUGACCUCGGAUCAGGUAGGGAUACCCGCUGAACUUAAGCAUAUCAAUAAGCGGAGGAAAAGAAACCAACAGGGAUUGCCCUAGUAACGGCGAGUGAAGCGGCAACAGCUCAAAUUUGAAAUCUGGCGUCUUUGGCGUCCGAGUUGUAAUUUGCAGAGGGCGCUUUGGCAUUGGCAGCGGUCCAAGUUCCUUGGAACAGGACGUCACAGAGGGUGAGAAUCCCGUACGUGGUCGCUAGCCUUUACCGUGUAAAGCCCCUUCGACGAGUCGAGUUGUUUGGGAAUGCAGCUCUAAAUGGGAGGUAAAUUUCUUCUAAAGCUAAAUACUGGCCAGAGACCGAUAGCGCACAAGUAGAGUGAUCGAAAGAUGAAAAGCACUUUGGAAAGAGAGUU